rnacentral:rRNA from 1 species
UACGUAUGGGGCGAGCGUUGUUCGGAGUUAUUGGGCGUAAAGGGCGUGUAGGCGGUUCAUCAAGUCUGGUGUGAAAUCGUCGGGCUUAACCCGACAGAUGCGCUGGAAACUGGUGGGCUUGAGUUCCUGAGGGGAAGCUGGAAUUCCAGGUGUAGGGGUGAAAUCUGUAGAUAUCUGGAAGAACACCGGUGGCGAAGGCGAGCUUCUAUCAGAGGACUGACGCUGAGGCGCGAAAGCGUGGGGAGCAAAC